CAAGAAUCAGAAACUCAAUCUAAGGUUUUCAGUUGGAUAGUAGGGACACAAGCACUUGAGCGAUCACCACUGGCUCCUAAGUCUGUAUCAGCAGGAAGCUGGAAUCAGGAACCAAUGUUCUAACCACAUGCUUGCCAAUAGACAUUGGGAGGGCGGCAUCACCCUUGGAUCGGUGAAAUUGGCAGCAUUUCAGAACUAUACAAACCACUUGGACAGAACCCUAGAAAUAUGUACACGUUGAGACUCUGGGUUGAUGUGAAGUGGCGGUUCCUCAUUCCUGGGUGCUUGGACAUGUGGAAGGAAACAGAGAGCCAAAAAUCGAAAAUGAAAUGGAUGUUUUAGAAGCAUACCACACA